AUAACGAUAAACUAGAAGCUAAAAUCAUCCGGUAGGAAAUGUCAAUAGUAAAUCUAUACUGACUUUCAAUUGACUUUGUCACCAGAACUACAGAUAAAUUGUACUGUACGACACGGGAUAGCUGUGAGCACCACCCAGGGUGGAACAUUGAGGUCCGAUUUGUGUGGUGUUUAUUGCUGUCGCCAGAAGUUUAGCUGCGUCCACAGGUUGUGGAUAGUGGAAUGCUCCAUACGGAGUAGCUGCAACGGCAGUCGCGGACAAUCAGCGGUAUCGAGCGUAGAGUCUCAGGGAGAGGUCGGGCGGCACCGGCUCUUGUGGCAAAUACUGAGUUCCUAUGAUUUUCGAUAUAACAAGGAGAGCUAUUGGUACUUUGGACCGAAAAGAGCUUGCUCACCUACAGGAGCUUGACGAGGAUCGCCACGUCAAAAUUAAAAGGGUAAGGAACAAAAAAAAUAGAAAUGGUUUUGUUUAGCGGAUCCUUUCUUUGGAGAACAACUAGGAGUAAAAGAACGCAUUUAAUAAAAAAUCCGCAAAUUGGUAGUACUGCAAUCCCGCAGCUAUUGUUCUCAAUAGCUUGUAUGAUUCAUUGACAAAUAAUUGUACAAAAUAAACACAAAGCAAUAAAAUAUGAAUUACACUG